rnacentral:rRNA from 1 species
GAUCAUGGCUCAGGAUGAACGCUGGCGGCGUGCCUAACACAUGCAAGUCGAGCGAUUACUUCGGUAAAGAGCGGCGGACGGGUGAGUAACGCGUGGGUAACCUGCCUCAUACACAUGGAUAACAUACCGAAAGGUAUGCUAAUACAGGAUAAUAUAAGAGAUUCACAUGGAUUUUUUAUCAAAGCUCCGGCGGUAUGAGAUGGACCCGCGUCUGAUUAGCUAGUUGGUAAGGUAAUGGCUUACCAAGGCGACGAUCAGUAGCCGACCUGAGAGGGUGAUCGGCCACAUUGGAACUGAGACACGGUCCAAACUCCUACGGGAGGCAGCAGUGGGGAAUAUUGCACAAUGGGCGAAAGCCUGAUGCAGCAACGCCGCGUGAGUGAUGAAGGCCUUCGGGUCGUAAAACUCUGUCCUCAAGGAAGAUAAUGACGGUACUUGAGGAGGAAGCCCCGGCUAACUACGUGCCAGCAGCGGC